rnacentral:rRNA from 1 species
CCGGCGCACGGGUGAGUAACACGUAUCCAACCUGCCGUCUACUCUUGGACAGCCUUCUGAAAGGAAGAUUAAUACAAGAUGGCAUCAUGAGUCCGCAUGUUCACAUGAUUAAAGGUAUUCCGGUAGACGAUGGGGAUGCGUUCCAUUAGAUAGUAGGCGGGGUAACGGCCCACCUAGUCUUCGAUGGAUAGGGGUUCUGAGAGGAAGGUCCCCCCCAUUGGAACUGAGACACGGUCCAA